UUUUUUACAGGCUGUCAAAGUCAAAUGUUGGAUUUUUCUCCAUUUUUUUGGACCUUUAGUACAAAAAAUCCUUAACUCCCUUAAAAAUUGUCCAAAUUUACCCAAAGUUCCACUAAAUUAUUAAGAAAACUUCAUAUUAAGUUUAUAAAGUUAUUUCAAGUUGAUACUUUAAUUGGAAAAUUUUUUACAGGCUGUCAAAGUUAAAUGUUGAAUUUUUCUCCACUUUUUUGGACCUUUAGUACAAAAAAUCCAUAACUCCCUUGAAAAUUGUCCAAAUUUACCCAAAGUUCCACUAAAUUAUUAAGAAAACUUCAUAUUAAGUUUAUAAAGU